rnacentral:rRNA from 1 species
GACGAACGCUGGCGGCGUGCCUAAUACAUGCAAGUAGAACGCUGAAGAGAGGAGCUUGCUCUUCUUGGAUGAGUUGCGAACGGGUGAGUAACGCGUAGGUAACCUGCCUGGUAGCGGGGGAUAACUAUUGGAAACGAUAGCUAAUACCGCAUGAUAUUAAUUAUCGCAUGAUAAUUAAUUGAAAGAUGCAAUUGCAUCACUACCAGAUGGACCUGCGUUGUAUUAGCUAGUUGGUGAGGUAACGGCUCACCAAGGCGACGAUACAUAGCCGACCUGAGAGGGUGAUCGGCCACACUGGGACUGAGACACGGCCCAGACUCCUACGGGAGGCAGCAGUAGGGAAUCUUCGGCAAUGGGGGGAACCCUGACCGAGCAACGCCGCGUGAGUGAAGAAGGUUUUCGGAUCGUAAAGCUCUGUUGUAAGAGAAGAACGGGUGUGAGAGUGGAAAGUUCACACUGUGACGGUAUCUUACCAGAAAGGGACGGCUAACUACGUGCCAGCAGCCGCCGUAAAAC